rnacentral:rRNA from 1 species
GAGUUUGAUUCUGGCUCAGGAUGAACGCUGGCGGCGUGCUUAACACAUGCAAGUCGAACGGAACUUUAGCGAGGAAAUUUUUCGAAGUGGAAUUGCUUAAGUUUAGUGGCGGACGGGUGCGUGACACGUGGGUAACCUGCCCUGCUUUUCGGAAUAACGCCGGGAAACCGUCGCUAAUGCCGAAUAACAUGAGAAGAAGGCAUCCUUUUCUCAUCAAAGAACCUCGAAGCAGGAUGGGCCCGCGCCGGAUUAGCUGGUUGGUGAGGUAAUGGCUCACCAAGGCGACGAUCCGUAGCCGACCUGAGAGGGUGAUCGGCCACACUGGAACUGAGACACGGUCCAGACUCCUACGGGAGGCAGCAGUGGGGAAUAUUGCACAAUGGGCGAAAGCCUGAUGCAGCAACGCCGCGUGAGCGAUGAAGGCUUUCGAGUCGUAAAGCUCUGUCGCAGGGAAGACAAAGAC